ACGGAGGGUGCGAGCGUUAUCCGGAUUCACUGGGUUUAAAGGGUGCGUAGGUGGACAGGUAAGUCAGUGGUGAAAUCUUCGAGCUUAACUCGGAAACUGCCAUUGAUACUAUCUGUCUUGAAUGCCCUGGAGGUAAGCGGAAUAUGUCAUGUAGCGGUGAAAUGCUUAGAUAUGACAUAGAACACCGAUUGCGAAGGCAGCUUACUACGGGGUGAUUGACACUGAGGCACGAAAGCGUGGGGAUCAAACAGGA
rnacentral:rRNA from 1 species